UACGUAGGUGGCGAGCGUUGUCCGGAAUUACUGGGCGUAAAGGGCGUGUAGGCGGGAAUUUAAGUCAGAUGUGAAAACCCCGGGCUUAACUUGGGGACUGCAUUUGAUACUGGAUUUCUUGAGGACAGGAGAGGAAAGCGGAAUUCCUAGUGUAGCGGUGAAAUGCGUAGAUAUUAGGAGGAACACCAGUGGCGAAGGCGGCUUUCUGGACUGUAACUGACGCUGAGGCGCGAAAGCGUGGGGAGCGAACGGGAUUAGAUACC
rnacentral:rRNA from 1 species